rnacentral:rRNA from 1 species
UACAGAGGUCUCAAGCGUUGUUCGGAUUCAUUGGGCGUAAAGGGUGCGUAGGCGGCGCGGUAAGUCGGGUGUGAAAUCUCCGGGCUUAACUCGGAACGGCCAAGUGAUACUGUCGCGCUAGAGUGCGGAAGGGGCAAUCAGAAUUCUUGGUGUAGCGGUGAAAUGCGUAGAUAUCAAGAGGAAUACCUGAGGUGAAGACGGGUUGCUAGGCCGACACUGACGCUGAGUGCGCGAAAGCCAGGGGAGCAAACGGG